AAACUUUGCAAUGUGCGAAAGCACGACAAGGUUAAUCCGAGUGGUUUGUGCUAAACGAACCUUUUGUCGGUCCUAGAAACACCGAUGAAUAAGGGGUGGGCAAGUUCUGGUGUCAGCCGCCGCGGUAAAACCAGCACCUCAAGUGGUCAGGAUGAUUAUUGGGCCUAAAGCAUCCGUAGCCGGCUCUGUAAGUUUUCGGUUAAAUCUGUACGCUCAACGUACAGGCUGCCGGGAAUACUGCAGAGCUAGGGAGUGGGAGAGGUAGACGGUACUCGGUAGGAAGGGGUAAAAUCCUUUGAUCUAUUGAUGACCACCUGUGGCGAAGGCGGUCUACCAGAACACGUCCGACGGUGAGGGAUGAAAGCUGGGGGAGCAAACCGGAUUAGAUACCCGGGUAGUCCCAGCUGUAAACUAUGCAAACUCAGUGAUGCAUUGGCUUGUGGCCAAUGCAGUGCUG
rnacentral:rRNA from 1 species